CUGAAGGUACAGCCACAGCCCGAGAGGCCUACAUCGGUCCCCGAACCUAACGCCACAGCCAGACAGGCCUGCACCAGCCCCGGGACAUCCAGGCGUGCGUUGCUAUUGGUUUCCAGUGAUUCCUCUGGGACUCCAUUGACCACUGUGAAGCCGUAUUGGUCUUUUCUGUUUUUUAUUGGGCUGCACAAGAGUCGUCUUCACUUCUCCAUUCCUGUUCUUCAGAUAACCCCAUUGGGUGACCCUAAGAUGUGGAGCUGGGAGGCGUCCAUUUCCUUCGCUUAUGAUGAAAGCACCAGGGCGAUGCGGGCACUCGCUGAGGUCACAACCACUGCUGGGGUGGGAGCGUUUGUGCCACAGCUGGUGAGCAGAGCUGGUGCUCUGGUGAGCGUGCUGCACGCAGAGACUGAGCUCUGGGCCUUCUGUGGAACAGAUCACCCUGUGAGAGCCCGACGGAAGCACCGCGUGUGCACUCGUCGGUACUUUCUGCAGGAUUCCUGUCCCAAAGGAGAUUCCGGGAUCGAGGCGGUCUUAGGAAGAGGGAAGCCAGCUCUUUCCAAGGGCCGGGGAAGUUCCUGCAGAGAGAGCCUCUGGAACUUCAGCUUCCUCUGAGCCUUCAGCAGCCAUGUCUCAGCAAGGAGACGACCGCGGUUCCAAUUGCUGCCGUGUGAGUGGCAAGAAGUGGCGCGGUGCGGUUCCCCGCGGUUGGGAGCAGCAGCCAGCAGGCUGCCAGAGA